UUCCCCAGAUUGGAUCGGCACUUCGGCAGCUUCUUCUCACCGGUGAUAUAUCCCUCUAGUUGAUUAUCACCGGGGUUGAAACUGCCAAGGUCCGGCUCUCUCUC
rnacentral:pre_miRNA from 1 species